rnacentral:rRNA from 1 species
UAACUAUAACGGUCCUAAGGUAGCGAAAUUCCUUGUCGGGUAAGUUCCGACCUGCACGAAUGGCGUAAUGAUGGCCAGGCUGUCUCCACCCGAGACUCAGUGAAAUUGAACUCGCUGUGAAGAUGCAGUGUACCCGCGGCAAGACGGAAAGACCCCGUGAACCUUUACUAUAGCUUGACACUGAACAUUGAGCCUUGAUGUGUAGGAUAGGUGGGAGGCUUUGAAGUGUGGACGCCAGUCUGCAUGGAGCCGACCUUGAAAUACCACCCUUUAAUGUUUGAUGUUCUAACGUUGGCCCGUAAUCCGGGUUGCGGACAGUGUCUGGUGGGUAGUUUGACUGGGGCGGUCUCCUCCUAAAGAGUAACGGAGGAGCACGAAGGUUGGCUAAUCCUGGUCGGACAUCAGGAGGUUAGUGCAAUGGCAUAAGCCAGCUUGACUGCGAGCGUGACGGCGCGAGCAGGUGCGAAAGCAGGUCAUAGUGAUCCGGUGGUUCUGAAUGGAAGGGCCAUCGCUCAACGGAUAAAAGGUACUCCGGGGAUAACAGGCUGAUACCGCCCAAGAGUUCAUAUCGACGGCGGUGUUUGGCACCUCGAUGUCGGCUCAUCACAUCCUGGGGCUGAAGUAGGUCCCAAGGGUAUGGCUGUUCGCCAUUUAAAGUGGUACGCGAGCUGGGUUUAGAACGUCGUGAGACAGUUCGGUCCCUAUCUGCCGUGGGCGCUGGAGAACUGAGGGGGGCUGCUCCUAGUACGAGAGGACCGGAGUGGACGCAUCACUGGUGUUCGGGUUGUCAUGCCAAUGGCACUGCCCGGUAGCUAAAUGCGGAAGAGAUAAGUGCUGAAAGCAUCUAAGCACGAAACUUGCCCCGAGAUG